UAUGUGUGUGUGUGUGUGUAUGUGUACACACACACACACGCACACACAUG
rnacentral:miRNA from 1 species